rnacentral:rRNA from 1 species
AGUGAGGAAUAUUGGUCAAUGGGCGCUAGCCUGAACCAGCCAAGUAGCGUGCAGGAUGACGGCCCUAUGGGUUGUAAACUGCUUUUAUGCGGGGAUAAAGUCACCCACGUGUGGGUGUUUGCAGGUACCGCAUGAAUAAGGACCGGCUAAUUCCGUGCCAGCAGCCGCGGUAAUACGGAAGGUCCGGGCGUUAUCCGGAUUUAUUGGGUUUAAAGGGAGUGUAGGCGGCCUGUUAAGCGUGUUGUGAAAUGUAGAUGCUCAACAUCUGAACUGCAGCGCGAACUGGCUGGCUUGAGUACACGCAACGUGGGCGGAAUUCAUGGUGUAGCGGUGAAAUGCUUAGAUAUCAUGAGGAACUCCUAUUGCGAAGGCAGCUCACGGGAGUGUCACUGACGCUUAAGCUCGAAGGUGCGGGUAUCAAACAGGAUUA